rnacentral:lncRNA from 1 species
AAAGAGAAUAUCUACCCAUAACCUUCAAGUCUGCAUCCUUGUCUAAUCCACUAUAGCCUCCUAUCUGAACUAUUCAAUAGCCUAAUUGGUUUCUCUGGUUCUUCUCUCGCUAUUCUACAAUGUACUCUCCAUUCAGCAGCCAGGGUGAAUCCCUUAAAUGUGAAUCCAAUGUUUCUUAUCUGCUCAAAAAACUCCAGUGUCUUCUCAUCACACUCAGAAUAAAACUAAAAUUCCCUACAUGGCCGACUAGGUCAAGUAUAAUAUAUCCUCUAACUGUAUCACUCUGACUGUAUCACUUGAAACUCUCCUGCUCUCCCAUUCAGCUCUAGCCAUACUCAUUGUAUUUCUGCUUCUGAAAAUACCUCACGUCUUUAUCAGAGGCUUUGUACUCACUACUUCCUCUGCCUAGAAUAUUUCCCUCUUCAGAUAGCUUUAUAUGCUCCCUCCAUUCAAUCAUAUAAACAGUGAAAUGCCAGCUCCUCUAAAGGGCUCUUCCUCAGCAACCAAUCUAAAAUAGUCUCCUUAAAUUGCUUACACUAUUCUGUGUAGACCUUUCCCUCACUUCAUCUUCAUAGCAUUUAUGGCUACAUUAGAAAUGUGUUAAUGUUGUUCUCUCUCUCAAAAGUAUAAGCUCAAUUAAAUAGCUUCCCCAUAAAUCCCAAGGGAGCGCUUGCCCAUAGUGAUGACAAUUUAGUGAAUAGUUGAAUAAGUUAAUGAAAAAAUUGAUACCAUGUACCAAUGUACAAAAUGUAUAAAAGUAGUAAGAUGGAUCAUUUAUCCCAAACCCACUAGACUUCCACAUAAUUGUGAGUUCAUUUGAUUUUCUUCUUAGGCUUAAUUUAUUAAAGAUUCUUGUGGGCCAGGCAUGGUGGCUCAAACUUGUAAUCCCAGCACUUUGGGAGGCUGAGGCAGGCGGAUCACGAGGUCAGGAGAUAGAGACCAUCCUGGCUAACAUGGUGAAACCCCGUCUCUACUAAAAAUACUAAAAAUUAGCUGGGCAUGGUGGCGGGCGCCUGUAGUCCCAACUACUCAGGAGGCUGAGGCAGGAGAAUGGCGUGAACCUGGGAGGCGGAGGUUGCAGUGAGCCAAGAUCGCGCCACUGCACUCCAGCUUGGGCGACAGAGCAAGACUCCGUCUC